AACGAACGCUGGCGGCGUGGAUAAGACAUGCAAGUCGGACGGGAUUUUCCGUUGUAGCAAUACGAUGGAAAGUCUAGUGGCGAACGGGUGCUUAACACGUGGGCAACCUGCCAGGAAGUGGGGGAUAGCUCGCCGAUAGGCGAAUUAAUACCGCAUGUGAUUAGAGAGGACAUCCUUUCGAAAUUAAAGUCGGGGCAACCUGACGCUUCUUGUGGGGCCCGCGGCCUAUCAGCUAGUUGGUGAGGUAAUGGCUCACCAAGGCUUUGACGGGUAGCUGGUCUGAGGGGACGACCAGCCACACUGGGACUGAGAAACGGCCCAGACACCUACGGGUGGCAGCAGUCGAGAAUUUUUGACAAUGGGGGAAACCCUGAUCGAGCGACGCCGCGUGGAGGAUGAAGGUCUUCGGAUUGUAAACUCCUGUCAUUGGGGAACAAGGUGCAUACGUUAACUGCGUGUGCAUUGAUAGUACCCGAAGAGGAAGAGACGGCUAACUCUGUGCCAGCAGCCGCGGUAACAC
rnacentral:rRNA from 1 species